CUCAAACUUCAAUUAAAAUUAAAAUUUUUAAAUUUCAAUAUGAUCCCUCUCUGUCCUUAAAAUGUAUUUAAUUUCUAAACUCAAGCUUUUAUUUUUAUAUAAUCUAUCUGUGAAAGCUACCUAAGCAAUUGAAAUAUGUUGUGAAGGUAAAAUGUGCCACAGAAAUAAGAAACAUUUACUAUUUCUACACAUUACUCAUCCUUUAGAGUUUACCUUUCAUGGACUUAGUCUAACGGCUGCUCCCAUUAUCAUUAGUGUUUCUCAUACCAGGUUAUACCUUUUCAUGCCCUAAUUUAGAUCCCUCAUUUAAAAUUUCUUAUUCAUCGUAGGCUAAGAUGUAACAGAAACUAUGGCAAUUUAUUUAAUGCAGUGUGCUUACAAGCCUUAAUACAACCUCAAAAUUUGUUUUCGUUCCAAAAAAUCAAUUUGUUUCCCAAAAUAAUUUGAAAUUCAAAAACGCCAAGGCUGUGGAGCACCUAAUGCAAGCUGGAGUUAAAACCGUAUUUUGUAAUCAAAUCAUUGUUUUUUAAACUUUUGGUGCCUCUGCUGCUUUCUAGGCAGUCUCCAUAGUAACAGAGAAACAAAACCGGAAGCCAGCAGUUGAAAUGGACGCCUGCUGCUGAUAGUGGUUCCGCUUCCAUGGAAACAACAAUGGAGUGAUGGAAUACUGGAAGGCUUUUUAAAUGUAACCUUAAAUAUACAUACUAUGCCUCCUUCCUUACCAGCCCCUUAAAACUAGGUCACAAGCACUGCUGCUCAACAGCGGCAGCCAAGGAUGAAAAUCACCUCUUGCGGAUUUUUACUGCUGGACACUUACUGAGAGAAACAGUGCAUGCAUGAGCGUAGAGGAGGAGCAGAGAGCGAGGGAGAAAGAGAAUCUUAAGCAGGCUCCACACUCAGCACAGAGCCCAAUGAUGCAGGACUCCAUCUCACGACUAGGAGAUCAUGACCUGAGCUGAGAUCAAGAGGGAGACAGACGCUUAACUGAUUGAGCCACCCAGCAAAUGCUUUUAAAAAUGGAUACAUAUUUUACAUUCUACUUAAGGAUAAACCAGUACCUUCAGUGAAAUCAUACAAAAGGAAUAUGGAGGAACAUGGCGUAGAAGUGGCAUGAUUGAACUAAAAGGACAAUCUACUUUAAUUUUAUGAAAAAUUGUCAUGACAGCAUCACUGAAACACAAGCACAGAUACUCUACAUAAUUUUAAACCACUAUGUAAAACAGAAUGAAGUCUAUGAACUUUUUAUUGUUUGACAAUUACAAUUUUGGAAAACCUGUUUCUUAACAGUUUAGAAAAGUACAAAUGCCUGCAUAACGACCUGGUUAUUUUUCAAAUGAAACACACUUUGAGACCACUAAUGACAAAACAGUAAGCUCAUAAGAAAAAGCAGAUUUACAUUUUCAAAACUUCCUAUAAGAGAAUAGAUAAACUGAACUUCUGUGUAAUUUACAUAAGACUCAAUAUUUAACUAUUACGAUUAACUAAGCUGUAAGUUCAAUAAAACUAUGUAACUCAAGUAAUCAUGAAAUAAUGAUCGACUGUUUCUCAAAGUGCCUAACUGCUAGUACUGAAAUAAAUGAAAUAAAUGAAUAAAUGCCAGUAGUUUUUCCACU